rnacentral:SRP_RNA from 1 species
GGGGGGGACCCUGGCAAUGGUGUCUUGCGAACCUGGUCAGGGCGGGAACGCAGCAGCCAUAAGCAUCGCCAUCAUGUGCUUGGGAGAACCUCCCCGGC